rnacentral:rRNA from 1 species
CACGUAGGCACCAAGCGUUGUCCGGAUUUAUUGGGCGUAAAGAGCUCGUAGGCGGUUCAGUAAGUCGGGUGUGAAAACUCUGGGCUCAACCCAGAGACGCCACCCGAUACUGCUGUGACUUGAGUACGGUAGGGGAGACUGGAAUUCCUGGUGUAGCGGUGAAAUGCGCAGAUAUCAGGAGGAACACCGGUGGCGAAGGCGGGUCUCUGGGCCGUAACUGACGCUGAGGAGCGAAAGCAUGGGGAGCGAACAGA